AGUGAACGCUGGCGGUAGGCCUAACACAUGCCAGUCGAACGGCAGCACAGUAAGAGCUUGCUCUUACGGGUGGCGAGUGGCGGACGGGUGAGGAAUACAUCGGAAUCUACUUUUUCGUUGGGGAUAACGUAGGGAAACUUACGCUAAUACCGCAUACGACCUACGGGUGAAAGCAGGGGAUCUUCGGACCUUGCGCGAUUGAAUGAGCCGAUGUCGGAUUAGCUAGUUGGCGGGGUAAAGGCCCACCAAGGCGACGAUCCGUAGCUGGUCUGAGAGGAUGAUCAGCCACACUGGAACUGAGACACGGUCCAGACUCCUACGGGAGGCAGCAGUGGGGAAUAUUGGACAAUGGGCGCAAGCCUGAUCCAGCCAUACCGCGUGGGUGAAGAAGGCCUUCGGGUUGUAAAGCCCUUUUGUUGGGAAAGAAAAGCAGCAGGUUAAUACCCCGCUGUUCUGACGGUACCCAAAGAAUAAGCACCGGCUAACUUCGUG
rnacentral:rRNA from 1 species